AUAUUACAUUUUAUUACGUUUUCUUACGUUCUAAUGUCGUAGGUCAGGGAAAUUAAGAAAUAUUAAUUUAAAGCAUUUAAUCUAUUACAACUCACUAAAUGUUAUUGUUUUGAAAGUCUUCACAAAGAUUCGUAUAUGAAAUUAAAACGGUCAUUGAAAGACAGUUAAAUUGAAAAAAAAACAAAAUAAU